GCACGGGUGGGAGAGUGGCUAAUUCCAGCGGUCUGUAAAACCGCCGCCUACGGGCUACGCAGGUUCGAAUCCUGCCCCGUGCACCA
rnacentral:tRNA from 1 species